rnacentral:rRNA from 1 species
AGUUAAGUAAAAAUGAACACAUGUCCUUACGAACUCGCCCAUGCAGAAAAAUAAAAUUACAAUCCAAUCCUUGAGGGAGCCUAUAAGUCUUCUUUCUCCUGCAUCCAUCAGUGGUGCGCUGUGUGCAUAGCUCGAUGCUGCCUCUCGGACUCCGCCUCGAGGGAGCAAACAUUUUUUACUCGGGAACUUGUAGACUAGGAGAAGAAAAUGCCGAGAAGAGCUCAUAGAAACUCCAAGGACCAUGCGUUUCGACCGAAUCUGGACGGAUCCAUCAAAAACCUAAACCGAUCGGAUCACAAAAAACCCGCCGCAGACACAACUCCAUACGCCCUUUGCAUGCCGGGGCAGCAUACCCUGUUACGCGUUCACCUGAGGGUAGUUACGAUCGAAUGUGAAGUCCCGCCUGAACCUGAGGAGAGCCGAGGCUUGGCCUGGGAGACAUGGAGCUGGGGUGGUGGUUUGGUUGCUGUAUGCUGCGGCAGAGGUGAGGGACGAGCGGAGAACUUGUGAAGAAGGUCGAGCAGCAGCAAAAGGUUACCGGAACUAGCUAUGGGAGCC